UACGGAGGAUGCAAGCGUUAUCCGGAAUGAUUGGGCGUAAAGCGUCCGCAGGUGGCUGUGUAAGUCUGCUGUUAAAUAGUGAGGCUCAACCUCAUAAAGGCAGUGGAAACUACACGGCUAGAGUGCGUUCGGGGCAGAGGGAAUUCCUGGUGUAGCGGUGAAAUGCGUAGAGAUCAGGAAGAACACCGGUGGCGAAAGCGCUCUGCUAGGCCGCAACUGACACUCAUGGACGAAAGCUAGGGGAGCGAAAGGG
rnacentral:rRNA from 1 species